UACGUAGGGGGCAAGCGUUGUCCGGAUUUAUUGGGCGUAAAGAGCGUGUAGGCGGCCAGGUAGGUCUGCUGUGAAAACUCGAGGCUUAACCUCGAGAUGUCGGCGGAAACCAUCUGGCUAGAGUCCGGAAGAGGAGAGUGGAAUUCCUGGUGUAGCGGUGUAAUGCGCAGAUAUCAGGAAGAACACCCGUGGCGAAGGCGGCUCUCUGGGACGGUACUGACGCUGAGACGCGAAAGCGUGGGGAGCGAACAGG
rnacentral:rRNA from 1 species